rnacentral:rRNA from 1 species
GAGUUUGAUCCUGGCUCAGGACGAACGCUGGCGGCGUGCUUAACACAUGCAAGUCAAGGGGGCCCAGCAAUGGGCAACCGGCGAACGGGUGCGUAACACGUGAGCAACCUACCGAAAUGCGGGGGAUAGCCGGCCUAACGGCCGAGUAAUACCGCAUACGCUCUUUAUGAGGCAUUUCAUGGAGAGGAAACCUACGGGGUAUUUCGAGGGGCUCGCGGCCUAUCAGCUAGUUGGCGAGGUAACGGCUCACCAAGGCAACGACGGGUAGCUGGUCUGAGAGGAUGGCCAGCCACAUUGGGACUGAGAUACGGCCCAGACUCCUACGGGAGGCAGCAGUGGGGAAUCUUGCGCAAUGGCCUAACGGCUGACGCAGCGACGCCGCGUGUGGGAUGAAGCUCCUCGGAGUGUAAACCACUGUUGCCCGGGACGAAUAGCUCGAUUAAUCGAGCCUGACGGUACCGGGUGAGGAAGCACCGGCUAACUCCGUGCCAGCCGCCGCUGU